GCAAAUCUCAGUUAGAAAAUUCCUAUUCCAAAAUUUAUCUUAUUCUACAAGAAAAAUAGGAUUUUGUGGCGAUUAAUUUGUAACGAUUUCACAUUUGUUACGGUAAAUAAAUAUGGUUUGCGAAACCCUAAAGGUAAUCGUAACAGUUUGUAAUCGCCAUAUUUACCUCUCCAUAACCGAUACAAACCUAAUUAUAAGUCUACCCCGCCCUUCUUUUUAGAAUUUUCACCCAAAAUUUCAAUUUUUUGUUCGAAGACCUCCAUCCCGCUUUUCUGUAAUCUUCUCAAAUUAGGGUUAAAAACUGAAUUCAGUUUACUCAACUGAAAUCAAUUCUCUCCUUGUCCAUCACGUUGUUGGAAGUUAACAAAAUUCAGGCUACAAUUGAAUUUGCUCUGCAAUUAUCAAUUGAAUUCUCACUUGAGGCACACAGCGACAUAAUCUAGGCUGAUUACUUGUUUGUUUACCUGGUUCUUGUUUUGGGGGCUGAACCGAAGCAUGGUACCAGGUGCUGUAGAGUAUGCUCUGUCGUUUUCCACUUUUGAAGAUGCAUGUGUAAGUAUUUGAGAUAUUCAUUUUAUUCAUUUAUUUGAUGGGAACUUGUAUUUACUUUGAUGUUGGCAUGGCCAUUAGCUGUUAUACAUUAGCCAUUGGAGUAAAUAUAUGGCUGUAAUAUUGGCUUAAGUUGUUUGUGAGGGAAACAAACGCAAAAAAUCAAAUACUGUGCACACUCCCAUGCGCAGGUUAAAGUUUACAGUGGAGAAUAAAGAAAUUAUAAAUGGCUAUGUGGACGCCCUUGUUACAACAGACACUCUAAUUGGACAAAAUGUGAAAAAACUGCCUAUCACUAGAGUGAUGGAAUCUAGAGAAGCAUGAUGGGGGGGGGGGGGGGGCGAGAGAGUACAUUAAUGUGAGAUUUAAAAUCUAUAAUUACUGAAAUAAAUCAAAAUUUAAUGACAACUUCUGUUAUUAGUUGUGAGAUACCGCUCUUUGCAUAUGUAACAACUCUAUAUCUCUUUGUUUGUAACUUUUCUUUCGUGUAGGUUGUGUUUGAGUUGAUUUCGAUGGUUUAGAUAUUAUCGCUUAAAAAAAGUUAGAGACUUUCGAGGAAGUGGAUACUAAGUGUAUUCACUGUCUUGAUAUAAGAUAUUGGCUGAACAUACAGGGACAUUCAGCCACAUAGAAAAUAAUAAGGUAAAGUAGAAGGCGAUGAAUUUUGUAUAUUCGUAUAAUUAUUUUUUGCAGAAUGGGAUGCGUUUUUUUUUUCUGGUGUAGUAUUUGAUUACUGGAAGAAGUCUGCACAUUGAGACUAGUCUGAAUAGUGCACCUGGGAUGCUUUUUAUCAAGAUGGCAUUUUAGAAGGAAUUGGUGUCAGUCUUGAAAAGAUAACUCGUUGUUUGGGAAACGGUGAAGUUGAGCUUAUUUUGGAAGCACCUCGUGUUAUUGAUUUAUAAUAUAUUAGUUGGUUCAUUAUACUACUGUAGUAGUUAAAUAGUUAUAUAUCCUAUCCUUUGAAAUUAUAGACAAUAUUUAGUUAAGUUUUUAAAUUAUUAGACAACUUUUUGUUACCUAUGUAAUAACUUAUUACUUAUUCCGUAUGAGUUAAUUAUUUUAUAAUA